rnacentral:pre_miRNA from 15 species
CUAUGCGAAAAAUCCACAUUGAAAUCGGGUUUCGUUAACAGCGGGCUGUUAUGAAUAAAUCAACAAGUUCGUUGUCGACGAAACCUGCAUGCUGUGUGGAGAAACAACAAA